GACAGAGGUGCCAAGCGUUAGGCGGAAUCACUGGGCUUAAAGCGUGUGUAGGCGGAUCGUUAAGUGCCUUGUGAAAUCCCACGGCUCAACCGUGGAACUGCUUGGCAUACUGGCGGUCUUGAGCAACCUAGGGGCGAGCGGAACAAAUGGUGGAGCGGUGAAAUGCGUAGAUAUCAUUUGGAACGCCAAUGGUGAAAACAGCUCGCUGGGGGUUUGCUGACGCUGAGACACGAAAGCGUGGGGAGCAAACAGG
rnacentral:rRNA from 1 species